AACUUACUCGCGAUCUAAGCAGUGUAAUGCAUGACCGGAGAUAAUUUGAUAAUAUACAAGUAGCUGUCAAAUGAAUACCUUUGGACUUUGCAGUUGCUAUUAAAUGUUCCGCGGAAAAAGCGAUUGUUAGUGUCAUCAACUGUUGGCCAGCAUAGCUGAAAAAAUAAUAUUUAUCUUUUGAAACGUGGUUCAACGAAACAAGCCGGAAACCGGAGGCUUAGCACUUCAGGUGUGAAAGAUUUUGAGGAUUUUUUUGUGCAAGAAUAUUUGGGUUGCAUUUGUACACAGCUCUUAAUGUAUAUACAUUAAGGCGCAGCAAUUUGACUCGAAGGCGACAAUUUUGAUCUACUAUAAUUUUGUCAAUAAUAGCAGAAUUUCCACUAAACUUUCCAGUGCGUUGCUACAUAUUAUUGCCUGCAUUGUAGUAAAAUUUUAUGAUUCUAGGAAUUUACAAUAAAUUUUGAAGUGUGAACGAUAUAUACGUAAAGAACCGUGUUUUAUUUUUUUUUUCAGAAACCCUCCAAUUAAAAAAGUGCUACCCAGGUGUACAGUUGUUGGAUGGUGUCCAUAUUUUGCCUAUUAAUGUAAGUCCUGUCAUCGGCUCUUACAGCGUUGCAAACUCGUACUGUGGAACACCUGAGUCUAGCCAUUAAAGUCUUACCCAACACCUCCUCGUCGCGACAUUUGGACAGUAUACUCAUGUAGUCCACAUAGUUGUUAGCGCAGUAACUCCAUUGGCAAAACUCAAAUAGAUUAAAGCACUAAAACUGCCAACUCCCGUGGAAGGUCGCUGUAUGUUCGAGCAGAGAACGACUAGCCGAUAUCCUGUUUACAUACAGAUACUCCUGGCCUAGAAGACAUGAUAGUAUUAUAAGUGUCAGAACAAAAUAAUGAUGUGAAUAUUGAAAAGUAAUGUACAAUAUUGUGGCAAAAGUAGUUCUA